UGGAAAACGUACGACCACGCAGUAACCGAUAUUCGCCACAGGGGGAUGGCCUAUUUGCGGUGGGGGUCAAGCGACCAAUCAAAGAAGAAGAAUCACCUCACGACAACCGCGAGAUCGGCGAGCUGAACUACGACCUGCUAUUCUACGCUCGACCUGUUGAGGAACAGCUUCGUUUUCGAUUAUUCUCCCGACCAUUACUACCGAUUUAAGCUGCCGACACUUUUUCCUUCUUUUGCUACCGACCUAUCGUUUAUUCUACCGCUAUCGUUUUUCCUUCUAAACUCUUUGCAUCCUUUUUCCUUUCCUUAUCAGUUUUGCUUUUGUGAAGUAUAAUUUAAAUUAGACUCAGUUUGUGUGCCUGAGAUCGACCGUUAAGGUAAGGCUUUUGCCUUUGAAUUGUACUGUUACGAAGUUGCUCACAAUUUCUAUUCUUUCUCGUAAUAUUUAUCGAUUUUGCGUGAAUCAUGGAGAUCGGAAGUAGCGU